UACGUAGGCAGCAAGCGUUGUUCGGAGUUACUGGGCGUAAAGAGUGCGUAGGCGGUCCUGUAAGUUUGGUGUGAAAUCUCCCGGCUCAACUGGGAGGGUGCGCCGAAGACUGCAGGGCUUGAGUAUGGGAGAGGUAAGCGGAAUUCCUGGUGUAGCGGUGAAAUGCGUAGAUAUCAGGAGGAACACCUGUGGUGUAGACAGCUUACUGGACCAUAACUGACGCUGAGGCACGAAAGCGUGGGGAGCGAACAGG
rnacentral:rRNA from 1 species